rnacentral:rRNA from 1 species
GACGAACGCUGGCGGCGUGCUUAACACAUGCAAGUCGAGCGGCAAGGCCCUUUCGGGGGUACACGAGCGGCGAACGGGUGAGUAACACGUGGGUGACCUGCCCUCAGCUCUGGGAUAAGCCUGGGAAACUGGGUCUAAUACUGGAUAUGACUCCACGGUGCAUGUCGUGGGGUGGAAAGCCUUGUGCGGCUGAGGAUGGGCCCGCGGCCUAUCAGCUUGUUGGUGGGGUGAUGGCCUACCAAGGCGACGACGGGUAGCCGGCCUGAGAGGGCGACCGGCCACACUGGGACUGAGACACGGCCCAGACUCCUACGGGAGGCAGCAGUGGGGAAUCUUGCGCAAUGGGCGAAAGCCUGACGCAGCGACGCCGCGUGAGGGAUGACGGCCU